rnacentral:rRNA from 1 species
UGGGUAACCUGCCUCAAAGAGGGGAAUAGCCUCCCGAAAGGGAGAUUAAUACCGCAUAAUAUGUUUAAGUCGCAUGACUUUAACAUCAAAGGAUUUUCUUUAGGAAAUUCCACUUUGAGAUGGACCCGCGGCGCAUUAGCUAGUUGGUUGAGGUAACGGCUCACCAAGGCAACGGAUGCGUAGCCGACCUGAGAGGGUGAUCGGCCACAUUGGAACUGAGACACGGUCCAGACUCCGUAGGACGG